rnacentral:lncRNA from 1 species
AUUCUCUUGCAUUCCACCCGGGGAACAAGACAGCACCGGGUUUCACACUGGCAAGGCAGGAGGCUGUGUGCUGCCAGAACGACCAGCAGGGGGCGCAAAGGCCACGCCAGGCACCUGCUGGCCUCAGAGAAAACAGAAAGGGAACCAGGAAGCCCACUCCUGCUGUCCUUUCUCUGCAAGGAAAUGUGCCAGGGCACUGCAGCCCAGACAGUCGGCAGUAGAGGACCCAUGAAGUAUCUUUGUGCAAAGAAAGCAGCAAAGAGAAUUAAGAGAAUUGCAUCAUAUAAAGAGUGAAUUAAACCAUCUAAAGGAGCAAAAAUUCAUCAUCACAUGGACAAGAAAUUAAGACGUAACAUCCAUCUCACUAUUUGCAAAGUGGCUUAUUCCUACAGACAAUGCAGAUAUGUAAAAAGCAGCUGGAAACCUAGGAGCAGAAGCCCAGCAUAAAGAUCUCUGAAAGCCUGGAUGCGUGGAUUCCUCUCUUACUUCCCAAAACGGUGGGGUGGAAAUGUGAAUAUCAGCAUGAUGCACAGAUCUCUGCAGAUGUCCAGCGAACUGAAUUUCUAGACGCUAUAAUCUAUGUUCUUUCCCAACCCCCACUUCAGUUUACAUAUCGCAGGCCAUAGAUCCUGUUUGUUGAAAAGCGAUCAGCUAGAAAACAAGAGUGGUUAUAACCUGUGCUGCCCAGUGAUCAGGAAAAGAGAGCGGAUGAAACUUCCAUGACUUUCUGUUAGUCUGAUUAAUAUCCAUGCCAAAUGUAAGAUUAGUUAAAAGGCCUUAUUGCUUCCCACCAAAAUGUUCCUUCACUAGCUAUAUACUACACUGAAAUGUAAAGUUAUGGGUAUGUUUAACAGUUUAAUUUGUCAGUGGGCAUCCAACUCUUCUAUUUGUGUUUUUACUUUGAGCUUAAUUGGAGCAGACAAAUAGAGGUGACCUCUAACUGUUUUCUUCCUGAAGCCAUUUUCAGGGCAGAAGUGCUUUACCCACUUCAUUGAGAAACCACCUUUGCAUGCAGUACCCUGAGCUGUCUUCAGCACACCAAGCAUCCACAACAUGGGAAAUACCGUGCUUUAAAUGUUGCUUUAAUCACAGUGCUCAUGAGUAAGGGCAUGUCCUGUCUCUUAUCCAUGAAAACACUCCCACAAAAUGAAGUCACACCCAGUAUCUGUUAACGGAGAUACUGAGUGGGUGAAGAAGACUCAUUCCCUAAUGCAAUUCAGGUCACACAGGGUAAAAAAGAAAAAAAAAUCCUUUUCUGUUGAGGAUACAGAUGGAGAGAAAAUGGAAAAUGCCUUUCAGGAAGCACAAGCCUAGUUUUCUAAUUGUGUUUCAGUGAACACGCAGGUGAACUUACCUGUGUGGCUUGGUAUUGUGGUGGGUUUUCAGCUUCUUCUCCACCAAAUCCUUUGAAAAGCAGCAGUGGCAGAAACAAAUAACCCAAUUAAAAACAAUAAUAGCAACAAUAAAAAAAGAAAAGAUGAAAAAAAAAAAA